rnacentral:rRNA from 1 species
UACGUAGGGUGCUAGCGUUGUUCGGAAUCAUUGGGCGUAAAGCGCGUGUAGGUGGUUAGUUAAGUCGGGUGUGAAAUCCCUGGGCUCAACCGAGGAAGUGCAUCCGAAACUAAUUAGCUCGAGGACGGUAGAGGAAGGUGGAAUUCCAAGUGUAGAGGUGAAAUUCGUAGAUAUUUGGAGGAAUACCGGUGGCGAAGGCGGCCUUCUGGGCCGUUCCUGACACUGAGACGCGAAAGCGUGGGUAG